GACAGAGGUCCCGAGCGUUAUGCGGAAUCACUGGGCUUAAAGCGUGCGUAGGCGGAUGCCUAAGUACCUUGUGAAAUCCCACGGCUCACCCGUGGAACUGCUUGGUAUACUGGGUGUCUUGAGCCACUUAGGGGCUACCGGAACAAAUGGUGGAGCGGUGAAAUGCGUAGAUAUCAUUUGGAACGCCAAUGGUGAAAACAGCUGACUGGGAGUGUGCUGACGCUGAGACACGAAAGCCAGGGGAGCGAACGGG
rnacentral:rRNA from 1 species